CGGACGGGUGAGUAAUGUAUAGGGAUCUGCCUAGUAGUGGGGGACAACCUGGUGAAAACCAGGCUAAUACCGCAUACGCUCUACGGAGGAAAGCGGGGGCUCUUAGGACCUCGCGCUAUUAGAUGAACCUAUAUUGGAUUAGCUAGUUGGUAAGGUAAUGGCUUACCAAGGCGACGAUCCAUAGCUGGUUUGAGAGAAUGAUCAGCCACACUGGGACUGAGACACGGCCCAG
rnacentral:rRNA from 1 species